rnacentral:lncRNA from 1 species
AAUUCAGACUAACUAAAAAAAAGAAAGAAAUGUAUUAGCUCAAAGCUGUUCCACAAGCUGAAGCCACUAAGUGAAACAUGAAAGGUUUUAUUUACCUGUAUCUACAGGAGAGAUUUAAUGUCUUAUGCUACUCUUGCUCAAGUUGCUGAGAAAUUAUUUUUUUGUUGUGCAGUAGCCAACUGGAUGGCUUCAAAUAUGAGAUGUUAUUCGAGAGCGAGCAUGACAGUACAGGCACGCGCAUCAACUUGUUCUCAUAACAGAUAAGAUAUGGAGCCAUCUGAUGAUGAAAGCUAAUGAGAUCCCACAGCGUCCUCAUACGAAAAACGUAGAGAAAAAUCUAGUCAGCCAAAUGUAACAUUUAAAACAAACUGCCCAGUCAAAAUGACUUUACAUACAUUUCAAAUUGAUUCCAAUAAAUGUAGGCUAUUUAUUAAUGUAUUACCAGAGACAAAUUGCUCUUUGUAGGCUAAAAGAUACAAAUUUAACAAAUCAAAAUUAUUCAAGGCACGGUGCAAAAUAAAUAAAAAUGAAAUAAAACGGUAGGCUUGGCUAUACGAGUUCCUGGAAACUUAAUUCAACUGUCAUCUAACUCUUCCCAAAAAGCAUUUUUUAUAGUGUACAAGCGUUUUUAUAAAAACACUAGUAGUAGCCUUUUAUUAAAAUAACAAAGCAAAGCACUUGUAUUUUAUUACAGACGGCCAGUCCGUUCACAGGCGUUACUCACCUUGUUCUUUCUGGAACAAAUCCUCUCUGAAAAGAGUCAAUCCAGUUCAGAUUCAGAAGUUUACCAAAUACAGGCUCCCGAAUAGUCACUGGACGCAACUCCACAUUUCUUCCUCUGUCGUAGCUUUUCGGGUUUUCACUGAAUCACUCGGCUGUUACUCAGUUUCUCUUUGAAAUGAGUGAAAAUACUCUGCAGAGACGCGUGCUCGUCCUCAAGAUCGCGUCCAGAUGAUUUCGUUAAGUAACAUAACGUUUAAGACUCACUCACAGAGCCAACAAAACGAUUUCCGACCGAGUUCGUCUGUUUUUCUUCUGAAAAUCCCACCCGUGCGGUUUUUGUUUGCACUCGUGCGAAAAGAAGGUAGUCCGCGUCGUCGGCCUCCCCCAGGACUUCAGAGGAUACAGCGAGAUUCCGCACUCAUGGAUGAAGAAAGACCUGACUCCCCCUCCAUCACAAAACACCUCAGGACUACCAAACAGAUCACCCAGUGCAUCCUGGGAUUGUAGUUUCUGUCACACUGAGCCCCACUUAAAAAUCCUAAAAAAAAGGGGCAUUCUACAUUUAAAUAAAGCUACAACAUUAUUAUAUUAUAUUAUAUUAUAUUAUAUUUAUUAUAUUAUAUUAUAUUAUAUUAUAUUAUAUUAUAUUAUAUUAUAUUAUAUUAUAGUUUGGGUUUGUUAGGAUAGGACAAUGUUUGACCGAGAUACAACUAUUUGAAAAUCUGGAAUCUGAAGGUGCAAAAAAAUCAAAAUAUUGAGAAAAUGGCCUUUAAAGAUGUCCAAAUGAAGUCCUUAGCAAUGCAUAUUACUAAUCAAAAUAAAGUUUUAAUAUAUUUACGGUAGGAAAUAUCUUCAUGGAAUAUCUUUACUUAAUAUCCUAAUGAUUUCUGGCAAAAAGAAACAUUGAUCAUUUUGACCCAUACAUGUAUUGUUGGCUAUUGCUUAUGAUUGGUUUUGUGGGCCAGGGUCAUACUCUCUCUCUCUCUCUCUCUCUCUCUCUCUAUGUGUGUGUGUGUCACCCAGUGCAUCCUGGGAUUGUAGUUUCUGUCACACUGAGCCCCACUUAAAAAUCCUAAAAAAAAAGGGGCAUUCUACAUUUUAAAUAAAGCUACAACAUUAUUAUAUUAUAUUAUAUUAUAUUAUAUUUAUUAUAUUAUAUUAUAUUAUAUUAUAUUAUAUUAUAUUAUAUUAUAUUAUAUUAUAGUUUGGGUUUGUUAGGAUAGGACAAUGUUUGACCGAGAUACAACUAUUUGAAAAUCUGGAAUCUGAAGGUGCAAAAAAAUCAAAAUAUUGAGAAAAUGGCCUUUAAAGAUGUCCAAAUGAAGUCCUUAGCAAUGCAUAUUACUAAUCAAAAUAAAGUUUUAUAUAUUUACGGUAGGAAAUAUCUUCAUGGAAUAUGAUCUUUACAAAAUAUCCUAAAGUUCGUUACUUGUAGUUGGUUUUGGUUUGGGUCCGUCGGGUCGACUACUCUCUCUCUCUCUCUCUCUCUCUCUCUCUAUGUGUGUGUGUGUUGCUGUCUAGGGUCACAUAUUAUAUUUGAAAACUGAGAGCACAAAGUUGAGACUGACUGAUUAAGCCAGGUAAAAAAAAUAAAAAUUGUUGACAUUAUGUUUGAACUAACCACUCUAAAUGCUUAAAAGGCAUUGUUAGAUUUAUGGAAUGACUGAUAAGUCCUGUUUCUUUAUCCUCUGUAGAUAAAGCUGUUCCGUCCAUUCUUUGUGUUUGUGACAACAAUGUCCACACACCCCUGACACGGUUUGUGUUUGCAUAGUAAAGAUGGCCACAACAAAGUUAAGAGCUUGCAAAUGUAUUAUCUCAACAGCAGGAAAAGCUUCGGUCAAACUCCAGAUAACAUCUCCUGUUUUAUUCAAACUCCAAUUAGUUUGGAAGUACUAUAGCAUAGAAAACAUCCGUGGAUCCUUGAAGUGUCUGCUUAAGUAGCAGCAUGGCCAUUGUCCUGGCUCUGUAAUGAAGGGGGGCCCCACAAAGGUACUCUAUGUUAGAGCCUACUCAAUAAGCUCAGGAGAGAGAAUAAAAUGUUUUUCCGGUGAGAAGCAGAGACACAUUUUUCAAGCUUUAUUAAAUAUGAAAAAUGCUAAUAAAUACAUAAAUAAAUAAACAUCUUAAAAAGUAAAAACAUUACAGUAAAGUAAGUCAAGUGUGGUGUAUUUCAUUCUAAAAAACAACCAAACAGUUUCCUCUGAAAUUUCAAUUUGACAGUUGUUUAUUUGUUUAGCAGUGUUCUGUUCACAGUUGUAAUGUUU